UACGGGAGGCAGCAGUGGGGAAUAUUGCACAAUGGGCGAAAGCCUGAUGCAGCUAUGCCGCGUGUAUGAAGAAGGCCUUAGGGUUGUAAAGUACUUUCAUCGGGGAGGAAAAAACAAAACUAAUAAUUUUAUUUCUUGACGUUACCCGAAAAAGAAGCACCGGCUAACUCCGUGCCAGCAGCCGCGGUAAUACGGAGGGUGCUAGCGUUAAUCAGAAUUACUGGGCGUAAAGAGCACGUAGGUGGUUUUUUUUAAAGUCAGAUGUGAAAUCCCUGGGCUUAACCUAGGAACUGCAUUUUGAAACUGAAAUACUAGAGUAUCGUAGAGGGAGGUAGAAUUCUAGGUGUAGCGGUGAAAUGCGUAGAUAUCUGGAGGAAUACCUGUGGCGAAAGCGGCCCCUAAACGGAAUACUGACACUGAGGGUGCGAAAGCGUGGGGAGCAAACCAGGGAUUAGAUACCCGU
rnacentral:rRNA from 1 species